AGGGGGGGGUAGGAGAGCCGCUCGGCUGUCGGGGGUCCGUCGCGGUGCCGCGAAAGGGAUUUGGGAGCAGCCGCUCCGACGCCGAUCGUUGGACGUAACCGCGGCCACAUUCAGGUGCACGGCGUAGGCACGGGGAAAGCCUUUCCGUAAUCCUUUCCGUGGGCAACACGGUGAAAAGCCGCAGAUUUGGGGCGGUCGCUCUUUGCCGUGCGUUCCCGGGGCAAAGCUAUUGGGAUGUUUGUUUUGUUUCCCUUCGUUCCUCUUUGAGUGUUUGCAUUUUGGGGGUUUUGUUCGUUUGUUUCCGGGCUGCGGAACGAGACCCGGUGAUGGCAGCCGGGGGGGGGGCGGGGGGGGAAAGAGCCGCCGUGGAUGAGACGUGAAAUGCGCCGUAGGGUUUCGCCUAUCCCCAGCGCGCGGUGUGUGCCCAUUUCAAUAGCGGAUGGGCUGCUUCGUCGGGGAAGGGCUGAGUGCUAAACACACCCAAAGAUGAGUUACCCCACAUAGCGUUACCGGCGAUUAAAUUGUUCACAACUCUUUCGAAGCACGAGGGAGUGACAGAUCGAUAAUCGAUUAAAGAAAAAAAAGAAACAAAACCCCACCGCGGUGAAAGGGUUGUGCCUUACACCCCGAUAAAAUCCCACUGCGGGCCGGCUGGGGCUGCGGGGAGCUCCCGGUGCCGCGGGGUUCGCUGUCUGCGCUCUCCGUCCGGGACGCAUUCGCCGCACCGCGGGCUGAAGCCCGUCUGAGCUGCCCGGCCCCGCCGCAACCGAAUCCGAUGGAAAUCACAUGUGCGAGAGGGGUCGGAGCGUGUUAAGCUCGAGGAUCCCGCAGGAGCUGAACCGCCCUCGCGCUGGGGCUGGGAUCGAUAGGGGGAGGUAGGAAGGAAAUGGCUCCGGGCUGCCCCAGGGCGCUCCGCGAGCCGCCCGCCCGCCGAGCUCCGACGGUGCCUUCCGCGGCCCCGCUCCUCCGCUGCUACAGCCCGGCGGGGCCGGCGGAGCAGAAAGUACAUUCCAGACCUUUUCAUCCUGUUCUCCGAACUCCUUACCAGCUGAAUGGCUUGCUAAGGCUGCGGGUAAGUUCUGGCUGCAAGAAGUUUUAAUUAGCUGCCAAUGAUGUCAUGUCCAUGUCUGUGUUAAAAGCAUAGGUCUAAGUGUUUCUCUUGAUUUAAUGUACUGCAGAAAUUCCAUUUCAGGAUAGCAUUAAGACGCUUCAGAGCCAAUCUUGUAUUUCUCCUGUAGUUGAGACGCUUGGCCUUCAGCCUCCUGACUUCUGACACUACCAGUGUUGUGCUUAUAAACGUCCAGAAAUACACUGUCGGUUGUGUUUUACUGCUCAUGUGAAAACUGUCCAACUCCUUGUCAGAUGACAAGGGAGGAGUGCGGCAUUGAAGGAUUGCACAGCAGUGUGUCUGGGAGCUACAUUAUUUCACACCAGCAGCAAACUUUCAGCAUUUGCGCUGCAGCCUCGUACAGCAUUGGUGCUUUUGCCAUACAGCAGAGAGCAAACCCUAUUGUAGUCACUCUCCCUGCCAGAGUGACUAACUCGUGUUGCCAAAUAUCUCCCCUCAACACAUUUAUUGAACAUUAAAACGGCAGAAUAGCGUUGAAUGAAGUCCAGUAAUUUUAUAGGAUAUAUUUUAGUCACUAGACUUUGAAGACUAGUCCAAUGUUAAUUAUAAAGUUUCUGUGUCUGGAUAACAUAUUGUUAACAGUUAUUUUGUAAGUGCUAAUGGCAAGAUGGAAGAUUUCCAAUAGUUUUAUUGAGGAAGUGGCAAUUAAAAUGUUGAGCACUGCAACAUACAUACAAAAUAAAAAUAAUCCUGCAUACACAGCACUUCAUGUUGUGUUGGGUGUUGGUUUUUUUUUUUAAGAAAGCAGGAAAAAAAAGGGACAAGUAUUUUUCUUUGAAAUAAAUGCAACCAUUUUAUUUCUAAAAAGUUUUGCUUUUGAAAGAAAAUGAACACUGAUUUACUUGCCAACUUCAAAUGUCACGAGCCUUGAACAAGUUUGACAUUGUUUAAAAGCACAUCGUGAAGCUAUUAGAAAGCUAAGACAAGUUGCUAUGUUAUGUUUUUCCACACACAAAGAGCAACAGUAUGUUCUCAGUUUGAGUAACUUCUUUUAGAUUAGGGGAAACAAAAUAAGAAAGAACAAAAGUAAAGUGUUCACAAGAGAGUAUGGAAGUGUCUACACUGGGGAAGUUUUAAUACAUGGGUGGGAAAAUGUUUCCUGUGGGCAUUGCCAUGGGGUCACCACCAAGGCUCCUGUCGUGGUGCCAGGAAGGAGAAUUGCUGCCUACCUGCAUGCCGUCAGAAAGAAGAAGACUAUCUAUGACAAUGCAUGACUCAUUCCUUAGCAGGCUGAACACACCACUCUUUGCAGAGCAAAUGGCUGCCACCUGCUCCGAGGAGCCCUGGUGGAAUCUGGAGUGGAGAGGGGAGCCCAGCAUCACUGGGAUUGGCUUUUAGCAUGAGGUCAGUCAGUGUGAGGCAUGUUAUCUGUGCAAGCUGUGAGUUUGGGCUUGCCUGUGACAUACCUGUCUUAAUCUAAACCUGCUGCUGUGGACAGGUUUUAAGGCCCUUCCUUAAUAGUUUUCCAGACAGCUCUGUUUCCAGACAGCUCAGUGAGGCUGGAUUUCACAUCCUUUUCUAGCCGUGUGGAUGUGAACUUGCGGCCCAGGGGAGCUGAGAGCUGCCCUGAGCUGUAGGGCACGUCUCCUGCUCCCUUAGCAGUGCUGGAGCAGGUAACAGCCUUGGCAGCCACAGAUGUCUGGGGAGAGGGAGGAGAUCCAUCCGCUGCUUUUCCAGGCCCUCCAGGCUUCUGAGCAUGGCUCGGCUGCAGAAUAACAGCUCUGGACUUCCCUCUCUUCCUUUAUGUCUGUUCUGAAGUGCUUUUGGUAAGCAGGUGGUGUUACCUUCCUGGCUGGGACUGCAGUCCCUAUUUCCAGUGCAAUUGUUGAGAGGAGCUGGAUCACACGUUUUGUUUAGUAUUUUGAAAGACAGAUUAAUCUUAGGCUACAGUCUGAUGAAAACCAAUGGGAGCAUAAAUGCCAAAUAUGGGCACGUGAUGAAGCCAUGGUGUUCUCCCUGUAUCUUCAGGGCACUGAAUCAGGAAGUCAGCCCAUCUGGGAUGUCAGUUACCUCGGGAGUCAACUUUCCCUCUCUGUUGCCUACAGGGAAAUAUGCUCUUAGCUCCAGCGCAUCUUGUGACUCCCAAGGUUUGCUUGGGCACAACUGGACCAUCAGUCCCAAAGGCUAAUCUUGCUUGCUCAGACAAAGCAACAAAACUGUGACAUAGAGGUAAAAGAUUCCCCUGCACAGGAACCGCAAGAGAUAUUUUACAUGCAAACAGUAAUACUAAGAACAAUUGAAGAGAGUAAGAAGUCAGUACUGAAUGCUCCCUCUCUGCUAUUCCUACCCUCUCCCUUGUAUUUCCAUGGGAAGAAAAGAAAGAGCAGGCUCCCUUUGCACUUAAUUUCCUAUUAUUUUGGUUUUGCACUAUCUCCUGUUUUCUUCUUCUGCAAAGUUAUCUGUCAUGAAAGCCAGAGAGGAGUUCUGACCAUCCCCAGGAUCCAUUCAGUGCACUGUUCUCAAGCAUGACCCCAUGGCUGUGUGGUAGAGCCCAAAGACUGGGUUUCAGGGUUUCUGAUUGUCCUUGGAAAAGCUUCAUCCCUUCAUCCCUCCAUAUCUCAGGUGUCCCUUCAUCUGAGGGAGAAGUUUAGUGGGCAUGGUGGGGGUGAGGUGACAGUUGGACUAGAUGAUCUUAGUGAUCUUUCCAGCCUUAAUGAUUCUUUGAUUCUAGAUUCUAACUUUUGUCUAGCAGAAGCGCAAAUGACUUGCUCACAGCAGAGAGUAGGCUUCUUCAUGGGGAUAGGCCUAGAUGACUCUUCUCAGCCCUCAUGGCCACCUACCAUGGUGAAAGGUGGCCAGCAGUCCUUUAUUUGUUUCCAGUGGCCCAUCAGCCAAAGUGGAGCUACGUAGACACGCAGACCUGUAGUGACCAGCUCUGCUGUUGCCAUCAUGGAGGGUUGCAGGAGCAUCAUCCAUUUUUGUGUCAAGUUUUAUGAGCAUCUUGCAGACUGCUGAGUCCUGAACUAGACAAGGCUAUACUAAGAGAAAUAGCCACAGUGCCCUCAUAGUGCACCCUUCAGCUCACCACAGUCCUGUGGGAAGGACCAAUGUGUACUAACGCUUAUACGGAACAUCCCACUGUAAUAAAACAGCACUUUUGUGAUGUGCAUCUGUAGAACUCGUCACAGCACUUUUUCAAUUCAGUCACUACGACUAAUUUGAUAAAAUAUUUAUUAUGUGAGGGAUAAUAAAUAUGCAGAAAAUAAAGGUAUGGAAAAUAAAAGUAAUAAACCUGUAAACAGUUUGCUAUACUGAGCUGAACUAAACAAGAGCCAGACUGGGACAAGUUGCUCCCUACAAGUUACUUAUUCAUUAAAAAAUAAAGAUGGGAAAAGAGAAAGGUAUAAAGAUCCCCAUGAUCCCAAGCUCCAUGAUAGACAGCAGAAUUUUCCAUCCAUUGAUGCUCUGGUUCUCCAUCUGUUCCUCUAGGGUGUCCCUUAGCUUAAAAGUAGACUCUGGGUUGUUUGAUGUUGAGUUGCUGUCGUUCAGAACAAGACACACUCAAACUGCCGCUUGAAAUCAAAAGGACAAGACAGCAGGCUCUGUUUGGUAAGCAAAGAUCUUUGAGCACAGUGCUGGAUUCUUUCUGCAAAUGGUUAAAUGAUCCCUCUGUUAACUAAUGGGACCUUGGCUCUCUGAACUACUGCAAUUUGGAAAGUUAGGGACACGUGGAGGAAGCAGUGAAAAUUUUCCCAGAAAGGGUACUUCUGGUGUGUCCUCAGUAGUGAUUUACAGGCACUGUGCUUGAAAACAUCCUUAACAGUACACUCUGAAAACCGUGCCAGGACUGAAGUGGUGCAUGAACAGACUUCAAGAGCAAAAUUCCCUGUUCACAGAUAGACCUCUCUGCUGAUGAUAUUGGGAUUUUUCAGUGCGAAUGUUACUGUCAGUAGAGAAUCUUCUCCAGUAAAAGCCAUCAGUAACGAGCAUUUAUUUUCAUUAUUCUGUCACCUAAAAAUGUCAGCAGUGUUUUCUAUGCAAUCUCUCUUUGUCAAGACAUACCUACUCUGUAGGGAGAGCAGUGAAAACACUUCACACCAAGUAAAUGUUCAUGUGUGCGACCAUUCAUGUCAUUACACUUUAUUAUAAUGAUUCUCUUCAAAGAUAGCAUGAAAUAUCGCAUAGGCUGGUUAGAAAACAGUAUGUCACUCCUGAUUUGCCUCUGCUCAUUGACAAAAGGGUGGGUUUUCUUUUUUUUCCAUUGGACUCCAGCCUAAAAUGAAACAGCACUAGAACAGAGGUCAAGCACUUGGAAGAAUUCGUUCAAGGGGAACCAGGUACAGCUUGAUUCAAUAUCAAUAUUUCAUAUGUUCUGAGAUUGUGGUUCAAACGACAAGAUAGCAGAACACCCUUUUUAUAGCUUUCCAUCUGUGAGAAGUUAUUUCUCAGAGCACUCUGUAUGAACAAUCUAACAGAUAUUCAUUUUUGAGAUCAUAUAUUCUGCUAAGUGGGAUCUUUUGAUGCACAGUCUGGCUGUGAUAGUAAUUUUAAAAUGAGAGAAAGAGUCUUAGAGCCAGAUUCAUAAAAAUGAAUGUCUUCCACACAAAGUUAUUUUCCAUGAUGUAUUAACUCCUCCUUUCCCAAGCAUUUGGAGGAAAGUAAUGUCCUCAAUAUCAGUUACUUGUGAAUCAGUGGAAGAGGAAUCUAUGCAGGAAUAAUAAGGAGGUGAUAGAUCUUUGGGUAAUAAAAUACUUAUACUCUUCCUGUAAAAAAAAAAAAUAUAUAUAUAUAUAUAUAUAUAUAUUUCAGGAUGUAACUACAAAUACUUGGAGCCUGAGAGCAUACAAAGCUCUUUGAUGACACUAGAGUAAGAGCAUUUUGCAUUGAUUCUUUACUUAUUAUGAUGCAGUUGUAAUAUACCACAUAAUUAGUAUUUAAGGCACUUUGGAAAUCAGUGUCACCUACCCAGGUGACACUAGGGACAUUAUCUAGGACCCGUGUCUGCAGGCCAGGCAGGAUAAAUGUUUAUUGUUUUCCUUGAUCAGCAGAGCACGAGCAUGGCUAGCAUUCCAUGCUACUGCCUUUGAUUCCUCAGUCCAGGUUAGCAGAAUCCUAUUUCAAGCAGGGAUGACAGGGGUUGGCCUUGGUUUCCAAUCUUUUGCCAGGCUUGCCACAUGCCUUUGGACGUACAUUGAGUUUUCUUAACCAGCACUGCCACCAUACCCCUGUUUUUAUCUUACCAUGCUUUUUCUGGAACUACAAGUAAUCAUCAAAAUAUGUGUAGAAGCCAUAAUUCUAACCCACGUUGGUCAUUUAUCUUACAACUGAAUGUGAAGCUCUGUGUUUGAUGCCAAGCAGAAGAAGAUGGGACUUCUGGAUAAAACAGGUUUAUCUGGCCUUACUGUCCACGAUCCUUUUGAAUAACAGAGUUAUAGAGGUAGUAUCUGUUGCACACAUUUUCAUGCUACAUUUGUGACAUUUCCAUGAGCUUUUGGAUCAUGCUGCUAUGGCAUCCGAUCUUCCAACCAUGGCUGAGGAAGAAAAGUUCAUCGUCUGGGGUGUUAUGUGAAUGUGUAGGCAUCCACCAGGGAAGGUUUGCAUUUCCUCAUUUGGAGUUUAAAUAGGAAAUAUAUUUGUUUACCAAGAAAAAGUGAAGGGUUUUUUUAUUAAUCCUUACUCCUCAUAAGAAAGGAAAUACCUGACCCACUCAUUAAAGAAACUCCAACAAAGACACUGCUACAUUCAUGUCAUCUAGAGCUUUCUUUGCCUGUCUUGGCAGCCUCUAUAUUUUUUCCAGGAUGUUUAAUAUGCCUUGUGGUAUCUUUUUCAUGUUUUCUUCCCUUGUUGCAGGAAUGGGAAGGAAAGCUCUGUGCACUUGAAUUUUCACACAUGCAAAUUUUGAAAGACAACAAGUUUUGCAAUAUCUUCUGAAGGAGCCUUGUCUCUGCUUAACCUUAAACUCUCGCAAAAAACUACUUACACAGCAGGUUUGCUUGACCAUGAAGGUUAUUUAUUCCACUGUCUGGGCUCUGAGAGAUGUAUUAAAAUAAAAGCAAAAUAGCAAUAAGCAAAUGAUAGCAAAUAAUACAGCAUAUAAUAGUCUAUAACAAAAGCAAUAGUGAGUAAAAGGAUUAGGUCACAAGAAUGAAACACUUCUGAUAGCUCGUAUCAUUACAAGUGAGAGCUCCUUCAGGACCUAGAGACUGUUGCAUUAAAGUCCAGACUUAAAGGCUGACAGAUCUCACUCAAAGAAAAAAAAAGUCAUUAUAUGAGAAUAUACAAAAUCUGUUGGGGGUUCUCUGAUGUUGUACUCCAAUAUUCAAACUUAUUCUGUUUGUAUUAAAAGUUUUGUUGGGUGGGAGCAUGGAGAGGUGUCACGGGAGAUCCCUGCUGUAUGCAAACGCUUUAAAAAUGGCAGUGGUUUGAGUGCAGGGUGUGAGGUGUGACUGAACACGUGCAUAGCAUUAAAUCAUUAUCAUUUAAAGUGAUGACAUUUGCAGAGAGCUCUCUGGAGGUAUAAUUAUGUCACAUGGCACCACAAGCAAUGCUCUGUCCUUCCUUAAGGAGGACAGCAUGACAGCAGGAGACCCAGGUUGUGUGGGUUCCGGAGGCAUAAGGAACACUCUUUUUUUUUUUUUCUGAAAGAGAUUCAAGAAAGGAAGCACUUCUGGGCACUGGGGCCUCUCCUCAACAGGAGGAAAAGAUACAUUUUGAAAUGCAUGGGGAUCCCUUUGUUGUUCCUUCCUCUCCAGAUGACCAGAUAGCUGGAGGGAACUAGUGCGAGUCUUAGAUCCAACUGUGUAACCCUUCUCAGAGAUCUCCACCACAGGAAUCCUCAGACCAGGGGAGCACGCUUUAGCUGACCUACGCAUAGAAAUAAGCCAGGACUCUGUGGCAGCCUGGUGAGAGAGGCUUUGUAGAUCUCUGUUCUUUGUAGAAAGGAACAGAGAGGACAUAGGGUGAUUUCCAUAAGCAUUCAGCUCUGGAGGUUUCAGAGACUCCAGCUUCUGACUCUCUGUUACGUAUUGCAAAGGUUACAGAGGUUUGGAAUAGGCACUACAAGUGCAACACAUGGAUGCACUGACAUUUUCCAACGGGCAUAUUAAAAAUGGAAAGAAAUUAGAAACUCAUAUGUGGCUUGUAACUUCAAAUGUUUAGACAGUAUAAAUACAGGCAGUGUGCUUAACAAUGCCGUGCAAUGUUUUUUUGAAAUAUAUACUCCCUGAUGUACUUGUAAGCAGGGGGAGUUCAAACAGCAAUCAGCCAAAAUGGAAUAGGUACACUCCAUCAGAAUAGAUUUUCCUUAUAGUUGCCCACAAAGCAGCAUCAUUUCUCAUGCUACUUGAAGCUGAUUUAAGUGUUGGGUCUGUGCCAAUCGUUUGUUAAGCCUCCUGUCUUUAUUUUAUAGCUUAUGCAAUACAACUGACCAACUCAGGGAAACAUCUGUUGCACGCAAAGGAAAGGGGUACUAAGAUCCUACCAGUGUUUAGACAGCCACUUUGUUCCUUUUCUGCCAUCAUUACCUCUACAAGUGGCCCCACAUACAGAUUAUGCUAAUCUGAAAUGUAGUUUUGUUCAUUUUGUACAGCUAGGAAUUUAUUGCUCGCUUAAUCUAAGUUGAUCUUUGUUAGCUAAGUGUGCAAUUAGAGUCACAGUGUUUGAUGUAGAUCUGGGUGGCUUGUAGCACCAGUCUCGCACUUCUAAGCACAGAGUUAAAGUUCAGCCAGAGGUCUUGCUUAAUAUGAGUUUUGAGGGAUUUAAGCGUAGUCCCCACUGGAGCGUUAUCUGCAACACAAACAGCUAUACAUCAUUUGGCAAUCCAGGACAAGAUUUGAUUAGGAAACACCCUAUUCUAGCUAAUUUUAGUAUAGCAAAGAGUGUUCUCCAUUUGCACAGCAGUCAUUUCUGGCAAGAUUUGACAUUGUUAAUGAAGAAGAGAAGAUUGGCUGUACCAUCCACCCUUCAAAGCAUAUCAAAUUUGGCACUUCUCUCAGUAAUUCCACACCAUGAUCUUUUGCCUAAAAGAUUAUACAGGAAGGCGAUUGACCCAGUGACAUGGAGCUCUGAAUCCCUCUCAUAAACAAUUCUUUGCGUAUAGGAUAUCCAAAGCAAGAGGUUUUCAUAACAAGAAAAAUGCUUUUUUACAGUAAGGGUGGUGAGGCACUGGGACAGGUUGUCCAGAGAGGUGGUGGAUGCCCCAUCCCUGCAAACAUCCAAGGUCAAGCUGGACUGGGCUUCGAGCCACCUGAUAGAGCUGUAAGUGUCCCUGUUCUUCACAGGGGAGUUGAACCAGAUAAUCUUUAAGGAUCCCUUCCAUCUCGUAUGAUUCUAUGAUUCUAUAAUUUGCCUUUCUCUAUGUUCCACAGGUUUUGUUUAACUCAGCGCUGCUUACUGCAUACAAGAUGACGUUUUCUAAACACGCUGCAGACCUUCCUUCACUAAAUCUGUUGGACAGAUCAACAGCUUUUGCUUUAGACCUGUGUGAGCAUGAGCUGUCCAGUCUAAGCUGUAAAUGGGAAGAUGCUCUUCCAGUCAGUAUCACACCCCACACUAAAGCAGGUCGCCAGGGUGACAUUAACCACUCAGGUGAGUGACUUCUGUGCCACCCCUCCAGGGUCUCUUGAAGGCUGGCUCUUCGCUGGGAGAUGAUGAGGGUUGUAACUUAAAACAUUCUGAAUCACGGCUAAGAUUAAUCAAGGUUUGAAACCAUCUAAGAUCAUAACAAGAGUCAGUUGUUUGAUUUCAUCUGGACUACCUGGAGCCCAAAAUGCAUACCUUCAACUGAGUCCUCCCUUACUUUAAGUCUUAUCAAUCCCAGAAUGGUUGAGGUGUGCAGGAGUGGGGGAGCUCUCAGAAGGUCUGAAAGGUCGCCUGAGUGCAAGCCCCCGUUCAAGCAGAGUAGCCUAGAGCAGGUUGUUCAGGAUGACAUCCAAGCGUGCUUUCAAAAGUACAGCGUGCUGUCAGAAGUGGGAUUCGAACCCACGCCUCCAGGGGAGACUGCGACCUGAACGCAGCGCCUUAGACCGCUCGGCCAUCCUGACUAUGCCCUUAUAUGGCAAGCACUGAUUCUCUCUGUUAAAAUGAUCAUUAAAAGCAAAAGUGAAAACAGUUUAUGCUUCUGGUUUCUAAAGAUAUAGAAUAAUAAGAUAUACUCUUAUUCUGGCUGCAUAUAUUCUCCUGUGUAAUAUACAAACAUAUUUAGCUGAACUGCCUAAGAUGUUCACAUGAACGUUACAACAUGUUAUAAGCAUGUUGUGCUUUACCUACACAUAAUUCUCAGCAUCUACUUGUGCCUGUCACUAAACUGAUGCUCCAAAGAUGACAGCCUCCCCAAAGAGCUCUCUCGGAGAUCUCAGGCGCCUUAAAACAUUGUAAAUGUUACAGCUAAGCAGAAGAGAGAGGUCUUAGUUACUGCUUCCACUGAGGCAUAAGUAAACAGAAAUCAGACUGCAGUGGGCCUGUAUGUCCUGAUGCAUUAGCCCUGAGCCUGCUACAGUACAUGCUGCCACUUCUCUAGGAAGACAAGUUAUGAGAUCUUCUUGUCCAACCAUCAACCCAUCGCCACCAUGCCCACUAAAACACAUCAGUCAGAUGAAGGGAUGUCCCAUACACGAAGGGAUAAAGGGCAGCAUUUUAUGGUAAAUUGAGUUUGUACAGCUUUACUCUCAUGGAACAAGCUUUCAC
rnacentral:lncRNA from 1 species